UAGCCUAGAACUGGCGAUGAUUCUUCUGC
rnacentral:piRNA from 1 species